AUGGUCCUCCUCACACUGCAUCAACGCCACCUCUUCAUCAAGCGCUCUAAGUGCUCUUCCGGCGAGACCACUGUCACAUAUCUCGGGCACGUGAUUUCAUCCAAGGGUGUGGCUAUAAAUCAACAAAAGGUUCAGGCUGUAGCUCAUUGGCUAGCACCCAAGUCUGUACAGGCAGUGUCUGGCUUCUUAGGAUUAGCUGGCUACCAUCGUAAAUUCAACCGUGACUUUGGCACCAUGCCACCAUCGCUGCACCCCUCACCAAGCUCCUCCGGAAGGAAGCAUUUGUACGGACAACUAAGGCCGCCACAGCCUUUGCUUCCUUGA
rnacentral:rRNA from 1 species